rnacentral:rRNA from 1 species
GACGAACGCUGGCGGCGUGCCUAAUACAUGCAAGUUGAGCGCUGAAGGUUGGUACUUGUACCAACUGGAUGAGCAGCGAACGGGUGAGUAACGCGUGGGGACUCUGCCUUUGAGCGGGGGACAACAUUUGGAAACGAAUGCUAAUACCGCAUAAAAACUUUAAACACAAGUUUUAUGUUUGAAAGCUGCAAUUGCAUCACUCAAAGAUGAUUCCGCGUUGUAUUAGCUAGUUGGUGAGGUAAAGGCUCACCAAGGCGAUGAUACAUAGCCGACCUGAGAGGGUGGUCGGCCACAUUGGGACCGAGGAAACGGCCAAACUCCCUCGGGAAGCAGGAGUAGGGGAACUUCGGCCAUGGAGGGAAGUCCGGACGAACAACGGCGCGGGAGGGGAGGAGGUUCUCGGGUCGGAAAAAUCUGUUUGUAGGGGAGAAAGUUAGGGAGAGUGAAAAGCUCAUGAAGUGACGGUAACUACCCAGAAAGCGACGGCUAACUACGUG